rnacentral:misc_RNA from 1 species
AACUGAUACUACCUGCGGGAACCUGCGGAGGGAUCAUUACCGAGUUUACAAAACUCCCAAACCCUUUGUGAACCUUACCUAUCGUUGCUUCGGCGGGACCGCCCCGGCGCCCUCGCGGCCCGGAACCAGGCGCCCGCCGGAGGCCCCAAACCCUCAUGUCUUUAGUGGUUUCCUCCUCUGAGUGACAUAAACAAAUAAAGUAAAAACUUUCAACAACGGAUCUCUAGAUCGGAAGAGCAC